AUUGAACGCUGGCGGCAGGCCUAACACAUGCAAGUCGAGCGAGCGGCGGACGGGUGAGUAAUGUAUGGGGACUGCCCGAUAGAGGGGGCUAACUACUGGAAACGGUGGCUAAUACCGCAUACUAUCCGAUAACCCAUAUGGGAUUAGCUAGUAGGUGGGGUAAAGGCUCACCGAGGCGACGAUCUCUAGCUGGUCUGAGAGGAUGAUCAGCCACACUGGGACUGAGACACGGCCCAGACUCCUACGGAGGCAGCAGUAGGGAAUCUUGGACAAUGGGCGCAAGUCUGAUGGAGCCAUGCCGCGUGUAUGAAGAAGGCCUUAGGGUUGUAAAGUACUUUCGUCAGAGAAGCGGUAUCCACAGAAGAAGCCCCGGCUAACUCCGUGCCAGCAGCCGCGGUAAUAC
rnacentral:rRNA from 1 species